rnacentral:rRNA from 1 species
UACAGAGGUCUCAAGCGUUGUUCGGAUUCAUUGGGCGUAAAGAGCGCGUAGGCGGCCAGAUAAGUCCGGUGUGAAAGUCACAGGCUCAACCUGUGAAUGCCGCUGGAAACUGUCUGGCUAGAGUCCGGAAGGGGCGAGUGGAAUUCCUGGUGUAGCGGUGAAAUGCGCAGAUAUCAGGAGGAACACCAAUGGCGAAGGCAGCUCGCUGGGACGGUACUGACGCUGAGGCGCGAAAGCGUGGGGAGCAAACAGG